AUUGAACGCUGGCGGCAUGCCUUACACAUGCAAGUCGAACGGUAACAGGUCUUCGGAUGCUGACGAGUGGCGAACGGGUGAGUAAUACAUCGGAACGUGCCCGAUCGUGGGGGAUAACGAAGCGAAAGCUUUGCUAAUACCGCAUAAGAUCUAAGGAUGAAAGCAGGGGACCGCAAGGCCUUGCGCGAACGGAGCGGCCGAUGGCAGAUUAGGUAGUUGGUGGGAUAAAAGCUUACCAAGCCGACGAUCUGUAGCUGGUCUGAGAGGACGACCAGCCACACUGGGACCGAGACACUGCCCAGACUCCUACGGGAGGCAGCAGUGGGGAAUUUUGGACAAUGGGCGAAAGCCUGAUCCAGCCAUGCCGCGUGCAGGAUGAAGGCCUUCGGGUUGUAAACUGCUUUUGUACGGAACGAAAAGACUCUUUCUAAUAAAGAGGGUCCAUGACGGUACCGUAAGAAUAGGCACCGGCUAACUACGUGCCAGCAGCCGCUGUAA
rnacentral:rRNA from 1 species